AGUUUGAUCCUGGCUCAGGAUGAACGCUAGCUACAGGCUUAACACAUGCAAGUUGCGGGGCAGCAUGUCGGUCGCUUGCAACCGAUGAUGGCGACCGGCGCACGGGUGAGUAACGCGUAUCCAACCUGCCCUUCACCACGGAAUAAUCCAGUGAAAAUUGGUCUAAUACCGUAUGAGGUCAUACGAUGGCAUCAGAAUAUGACGAAAGGUUUGGCGGUGAAGGAUGGGGAUGCGUCUGAUUAGCUUGUUGGUGAGGUAACGGCUCACCAAGGCGACGAUCAGUAGGGGUUCUGAGAGGAAGGUCCCCCACAUUGGAACUGAGACACGGUCCAAACUCCUACGGGAGGCAGCAGUGAGGAAUAUUGGUCAAUGGGCGAGAGCCUGAACCAGCCAAGUAGCGUGCAGGAAGACGGCCCUAUGGGUUGUAAACUGCUUUUAUAUGGGGAUAAAGUGAGCUACGUGUAGCUUAUUGCAGGUACCAUAUGAAUAAGGACCGGCUAAUUCCGUGCCAGCAGCCGCGGUAAUACGGAAGGUCCAGGCGUUAUCCGGAUUUAUUGGGUUUAAAGGGAGCGUAGGCCGCCCCUUAAGCGUGUUGUGAAAUGCCGCGGCUCAACCGUGGCACUGCAGCGCGAACUGGGGGGCUUGAGUGCACGCAACGCAGGCGGAAUUCGUGGUGUAGCGGUGAAAUGCUUAGAUAUCACGAAGAACUCCGAUUGCGAAGGCAGCUUGCGGGAGUGCGACUGACGCUGAAGCUCGAAGGUGCGGGUAUCGAACAGGAUUAGAUACCCUGGUAGUCCGCACAGUAAACGAUGGAUGCCCGCUGUGUGUCUUAAAGGUACGCGGCCAAGCGAAAGCGUUAAGCAUCCCACCUGGGGAGUACGCCGGCAACGGUGAAACUCAAAGGAAUUGACGGGGGCCCGCCAAGCGGAGGAACUUUGGGUUUAAUUCGAUGAUACCCGAGGAACCUUACCCGGGUUUGAAUUGCAAAAAACGGUUCCCAGAAUGGGGACUCCCUUCCGGGGUUCUUUGGAAGGGCUGCCAGGGUUUCUUCCACUCUUGCCCUGAGGUGGCCGCUUUAUUGCCUACAAAGCCGACCCCCUGCCUUAUUUUCCCUCCAGGAAAGUUGGGCCCUCUAAGAAUCGCCCCCACGGGGGAGGGGAAGGGGGGGUGAACUCAAAUCACAACGGCUUUAUUCCCGGGUCCACCCUGUUCAAUGGGGGGCAAAAGAGAAAAGGCCCCAAGGUCUUCCAAUCAAGAAAGCCAUCCCCAGUUCGGAUUGGGGUCUGCAACCCGACCCCAUGAAGCUGGAUUCGCUAGUAAUCGCGCAUCAGCCAUGGCGCGGUGAAUACGUUCCCGGGCCUUGCACACACCGCCCGUC
rnacentral:rRNA from 1 species